UAUGUAGGGUGCAAGCGUUAUCCGGAAUUAUUGGGCGUAAAGAGCUCGUAGGCGGUUUGUCGCGUCUGCUGUGAAAACUGGAGGCUCAACCUCCAGCCUGCAGUGGGUACGGGCAGACUAGAGUGCGGUAGGGGAGAUUGGAAUUCCUGGUGUAGCGGUGGAAUGCGCAGAUAUCAGGAGGAACACCGAUGGCGAAGGCAGAUCUCUGGGCCGUAACUGACGCUGAGGAGCGAAAGCAUGGGGAGCGAACAGG
rnacentral:rRNA from 1 species